GAGCGGUCGCUCCCUCGCCAGGUGCCGCGGGUCAGCGGUUGACGCCAGCCACCUUCCCGACCCGUCUUGAAACACGGACCAAGGAGUCUAACAUGUGCGCGAGCCGCGGGGCAGUACGAAACCCGUAAGGCGAAAUGAAGGUGAACGCCGGCGCGGUCCGGCGGAGGUUGGAUCCCGUCCCGUCGGGGCGGGCGCACUACCGGCCGAUCUUCUCCGCCCUGUCGGCGAGGUCGAGCGAGAGCGUGCAAGUCGGGACCCGAAAGAUGGUGAACUAUGCCUGAGGAGGUUGAAGCCAGAGGAAACUCUGGUGGAGGACCGUAGCGAUUCUGACGUGCAAAUCGAUCGUCAAAUUUGGGUAUAGGGGCGAAAGACUAAUCGAACCGUCUAGUAGCUGGUUCCCUUCGAAGUUUCCCUCAGGAUAGCUGGCGCUCUGUCGCAGUUUUAUCUGGUAAAGCGAAUGAUUAGAGGUCUUGGGGGCGAAACGCCCUCAACCUAUUCUCAAACUUUAAAUUGGUAAGAAGCCCGACUCGCUCGUUUGGAGCCGGGCAUGGAAUGCGAGUGCCAAGUGGGCCACUCUUGGUAAGCAGGACUGGCGAUGCGGGAUGAACCGAACGCCGGGUUAAGGCGCCCGACGCGACGCUCAUCAGAGCCCACAAAAGGUGUUGGUUGAUAUAGACAG
rnacentral:ncRNA from 1 species